CUUCUGCCUCUGCUCCUCCUCUUCUUGGAACUGCCUUUUGUUUGUCUGGCAGCGUUGGUUCUAUGGGGGUGUGUGAUGAUAAUAAUACGCGGGCUUAUAUAACCUUCUGCAUCUUGCGAGCACUUCUCAGACAGUCCCUAAAGAAUCUUGGGGCUGCUGUCAGGUCCCGCGGCUUAAUCUGCAAAUAGGAAACCCGAGGCCCAGAGAGCAGGAGGUAGGGCAGUGAGGAUCAGAGGGCAGGCCUUCCUGGCUCCCGGAUCUCCUCCGAGGUCAGGGCAGAUAAGGAACAAUGACUCUCCCCUUCUGCGGGAGGAAGGAAGUCCCGCUGCCACCUUAUCUCUGCUCCUCUGCCUCCUCCCUGUUCCCAGAGCUUUUUCUCUAGAGAAGAUUUUGAAGGCGGCUUUUGUGUGACGGCCUCCCAUCGUCAAUUGGAGAAGGCGAAUUUCACAAAUGAGAUGCAGGUUCUUCACGGCAGAAUAAUUGCAGACAGUCUUCAAAGAUACCAGCAAUGCUUCCCUGGGCAGGACAUUGUCCUAGACACAGAGGGGACUCCAUCUGCAGAUGUUCUGAAUACCUCUGAGUCUAGAAAUUGAUUAUUCAACCAGGAUACCUAAUUCAAGACUGCCAGAACUCAGGAGACCAAGACAUUUUGUCAGUUUU
rnacentral:lncRNA from 1 species